UCUAGCAACUAGUUGAUGUUAUGAUGCAUCGUUGGUCCGGUGUACGAUGGCGCCUGAUGCGAUUUAUGCGUCCGGAAGCCCUUUCAGCCUCCAGGCAUGUCCCCACCUGCCUCACAGCCACCGACGCAUCUCACGGCGGGGGUCCAAUUGCGUGCGCGUAUGGAUGCUCCUUUCCCCGCCGCCUUUCUAGCAACUAGUUGAUGUUAUGAUGCAUCGUUGGUCCGGCGUACGACGGCGCCUGAUGCGAUUUAUGCGUCCGAAAGCCCUUUCAGCCUCCAGGCAUGUCCCCACCUGCCUCACAGCCACCGACGCAUCUCACGGCGGGGUUCCAUAUUGUGUGCGCAUAUGGAUGCUCCUUUCCCCGCCGCCUUUCUAGCAACUAGUUGAUGUUAUGAUGCAUCGUUGGUCCGGUGUACGACGGCGCCUGAUGCGAUUUAUGCGUCCGGAAGCCCUUUCAGCCUCCAGGCACGUCCCCACCUGCCUCACAGCCACCGACGCAUCUCACGGCGGGGUUCCAUAUUGUGUGCGCAUAUGGAUGCUCCUUUCCCCGCCGCCUUUCUAGCAACUAGUUGAUGUUAUGAUGCAUCGUUGGUCCGGUGUACGACGGCGCCUGAUGCGAUUUAUGCGUCCGGAAGCCCUUUCAGCCUCCAGGCACGUCCCCACCUGCCUCACAGCCACCGACGCAUCUCACGGCGGGGGUCUAAUUGCGUGCGCAUAUGGAUGCUCCUUUCCCCGCCGCCUUUCUAGCAACUAGUUGAUGUUAUGAUGCAUCGUUGGUCCGGUGUACGACGGCGCCUGAUGCGAUUUAUGCGUCUGAAAGCCCUUUCAGCCUCCAGGCAUGUCCCCACCUGCCUCACAGCCACCGACGCAUCUCACGGCGGGGGUCUAAUUGCGUGCGCGUAUGGAUGCUCCUUUCCCCGCCGCCUUUCUAGCAACUAGUUGAUGUUAUGAUGCAUCGUUGGUCCGGUGUACGAUGGCGCCUGAUGCGAUUUAUGCGUCCGGAAGCCCUUUCAGCCUCCAGGCAUGUCCCCACCUGCCUCACAGCCACCGACGCAUCUCACGGCGGGGGUCUAAUUGCGUGCGCGUAUGGAUGCUCCUUUCGCCGCCUUUCCAGCAACUAGUUGAUGUUAUGAUGCAUCGUUGGUCCGGCGUAACGACGGCGCCUGAUGCGAUUUAUGCGUCCGGAAGCCCUUUCAGCCUCCAGGCAUGUCCCCACCUGCCUCACAGCCACCGACGCAUCUCACGGCGGGGUUCCAAUUGUGUGCACGUAUGGAUGCUCCUUUCGCCGCCGCCUUUCUAGCAACUAGUUGAUGUUAUGAUGCAUCGUUGGUCCGGUGUACGACGGCGCCUGAUGCGAUUUAUGCGUCUGAAAGCCCUUUCAGCCUCCAGGCAUGUCCCCACCUGCCUCACAGCCACCGACGCAUCUCACGGCGGGGUUCCAAUUGUGUGCGCAUAUGGAUGCUCCUUUCCCCGCCGCCUUUCUAGCAACUAGUUGAUGUUAUGAUGCAUCGUUGGUCCGGUGUACGACGGCGCCUGAUGCGAUUUAUGCGUCUGAAAGCCCUUUCAGCCUCCAGGCAUGUCCCCACCUGCCUCACAGCCACCGACGCAUCUCACGGCGGGGUUCCAAUUGUGUGCGCAUAUGGAUGCUCCUUUCCCCGCCGCCUUUCUAGCAACUAGUUGAUGUUAUGAUGCAUCGUUGGUCCGGUGUACGACGGCGCCUGAUGCGAUUUAUGCGUCCGGAAGCCCUUUCAGCCUCCAGGCAUGUCCCCACCUGCCUCACAGCCACCGACGCAUCUCACGGCGGGGUUCCAAUUGUGUGCGCGUAUGGAUGCUCCUUUCCCCGCCGCCUUUCUAGCAACUAGUUGAUGUUAUGAUGCAUCGUUGGUCCGGUGUACGACGGCGCCUGAUGCGAUUUAUGCGUCCGGAAGCCCUUUCAGCCUCCAGGCAUGUCCCCACCUGCCUCACAGCCACCGACGCAUCUCACGGCGGGGUUCCAAUUGUGUGCGCGUAUGGAUGCUCCUUUCCCCGCCGCCUUUCUAGCAACUAGUUGAUGUUAUGAUGCAUCGUUGGUCCGGUGUACGACGGCGCCUGAUGCGAUUUAUGCGUCCGGAAGCCCUUUCAGCCUCCAGGCAUGUCCCCACCUGCCUCACAGCCACCGACGCAUCUCACGGCGGGGUUCAUAAUGUGUGCGCGUAUGGAUGCUCCUUUCCCCGCCGCCUUUCUAGCAACUAGUUGAUGUUAUGAUGCAUCGUUGGUCCGGUGUACGACGGCGCCUGGUGCGAUUUAUGCGUCCGGAAGCCCUUUCAGCCUCCAGGCAUGUCCCCACCUGCCUCACAGCCACCGACGCAUCUCACGGCGGGGUUCCAAUUGCGUGCGCGUAUGGAUGCUCCUUUCCCCGCCGCCUUUCUAGUAACUAGUUGAUGUUAUGAUGCAUCGUUGGUCCGGUGUACGACGGCGCCUGAUGCGAUUUAUGCGUCCGGAAGCCCUUUCAGCCUCCAGGCAUGUCCCCACCUGCCUCACAGCCACCGACGCAUCUCACGGCGGGGUUCCAAUUGUGUGCGCGUAUGGAUGCUCCUUUCCCCGCCGCCUUUCUAGUAACUAGUUGAUGUUAUGAUGCAUCGUUGGUCCGGUGUACGAUGGCGCCUGAUGCGAUUUAUGCGUCCGGAAGCCCUUUCAGCCUCCAGGCAUGUCCCCACCUGCCUCACAGCCACCGACGCAUCUCACGGCGGGGUUCCAAUUGUGUGCGCGUAUGGAUGCUCCUUUCCCCGCCGCCUUUCUAGCAACUAGUUGAUGUUAUGAUGCAUCGUUGGUCCGGUGUACGACGGCGCCUGAUGCGAUUUAUGCGUCCGGAAGCCCUUUCAGCCUCCAGGCAUGUCCCCACCUGCCUCACAGCCACCGACGCAUCUCACGGCGGGGUUCCAAUUGCGUGCGCGUAUGGAUGCUCCUUUCCCCGCCGCCUUUCUAGUAACUAGUUGAUGUUAUGAUGCAUCGUUGGUCCGGUGUACGAUGGCGCCU
rnacentral:lncRNA from 1 species